rnacentral:lncRNA from 1 species
UUGAAUCCAUAGCCCUUCUUGCCAUCGUGUUGUUCACCGAAGUGGAGCUCCUAGUAGCUCCCGAUCAUACCUCCAUAUGAUCUAGUCCCUCCCGGGACUAUGUCGUGUGAAUCGCAUUGCCACGAACUGUUCCACCACGAUCCGCUGCACAUGUCGCCUCCUGGUUACAUCUCCAUUGCAUUCUGAUCCUUGUGGAAUAAACUCGAAUUAUGAACCCUCCAUGUGUGGCCUCUGCCAAUACAUCGCAGGGUCUCCUCCAUCUUCGAUUUUGUUCGCUCCUUUGGCAAUCGACCUUCAUCCACCCACUCUUGGGUCACACCUAGAUGAAGCAUCGCUCUAGGACAGUCCGUCACCUAGUAGCUCCCGAAGUCCACCGACUUCACUGUAAUUUGUGCACCAUUGUCUGGAUCCUGGGCCUCUGCCCCUACCAGCACAAUCUCCGCUGCGCACUGCUUCCUUCAUAGCAACUUGAAUGGCAACACUAUGGCAUAUUCUUCAAGAGUACCCGCCUCUACGUCCUCUUGCCCCGUGCUAAGGCCUUAUGUACCCAACUUCGCCUCCGCAAAUUGAGUCGCCUUAGUUCCUCCAUCAAAUGCUUCUCCGAGAUAAGGUGCAUGUGCCCCGAAGCUCCCUUCGUCUUUGGCACC